AGAGUUUGAUCCUGGCUCAGAACGAACGCUGGCGGCGUGCCUAACACAUGCAAGUCGAACGGAGAUAAGGGGCUUGCUCCUUAUUUUAGUGGCGCACGGGUGAGUAACGCGUGGAUAAUCUACCUUGGAAUCUGGGAUAACAUUUCGAAAGGGGUGCUAAUACCGGAUAAGACCACGAGCUCUUUGGGGUUUGCGGUAAAAGGGGGCCUCUGUAUAUGCUUCUGUUUCAAGAUGAGUCCGCGUACCAUUAGCUAGUUGGCAGGGUAAUGGCCUACCAAGGCGACGAUGGUUAGCUGGUCUGAGAGGAUGAUCAGCCACACUGGAACUGAGACACGGUCCAGACUCCUACGGGAGGCAGCAGUGGGGAAUUUUGCGCAAUGGGGGAAACCCUGACGCAGCAACGCCGCGUGAGUGAUGAAGGCCUUCGGGUCGUAAAGCUCUGUCAGAGGGAAAGAAGUGU
rnacentral:rRNA from 1 species